rnacentral:rRNA from 1 species
AAUCAACGCUGGCGGCGUGCCUCAGACAUGCAAGUCGAACGCGAAAGUUCCCUUCGGGGGAUGAGUAGAGUGGCGCACGGGUGAGUAACACGUAGGUAAUCUACCUUUGGAUGGGGAAUAACAACCGGAAACGGUUGCUAAUACCGCAUAAUGCAGCGGCACCUAAUGGUGACAGUUGUUAAAGCGGGGGAUCGAAAGACCUCGCGUCUGAAGAGGAGCCUGCGGCGGAUAGCUAGUUGGUAAGGUAACGGCUUACCAAGGCGACGAUCCGUAGCCGGCCUGAGAGGGCGGUCGGCCACACUGACACUGACAUACGGGUCAGACUCCUACGGGAGGCAGCAGUCGGGAAUUUUGGGCAAUGGGCGAAAGCCUGACCCAGCAACGCCGCGUGAAGGAUGAAAU